rnacentral:rRNA from 1 species
AGCGUAGACGGUGUGGCAAGUCUGAUGUGAAAGGCAUGGGCUCAACCUGUGGACUGCAUUGGAAACUGUCAUACUUGAGUGCCGGAGGGGUAAGCGGAAUUCCUAGUGUAGCGGUGAAAUGCGUAGAUAUUAGGAGGAACACCAGUGGCGAAGGCGGCUUACUGGACGGUAACUGACGUUGAGGCUCGAAAGCGUGGGGGGCAAACA